rnacentral:rRNA from 1 species
UACGAAGGGGGCUAGCGUUGCUCGGAAUCACUGGGCGUAAAGGGCGCGUAGGCGGAUGGCACAGUCAGAUGUGAAAUUCCCGGGCUUAACCUGGGGGCUGCAUUUGAUACGUGUGAUCUAGAGUGAGGAAGAGGGUCGUGGAAUUCCCAGUGUAGAGGUGAAAUUCGUAGAUAUUGGGAAGAACACCGGUGGCGAAGGCGGCGACCUGGUCCGUUGACUGACGCUGAGGCGCGAAAGCGUGGGGAGCAAACAGG